UCAUGAAUAAUACACAAUUGUUCACUGCUGUGUGGUCAUCAUUUCUUUUUAAAUUGAGUACAUAGAAUAUGGUUGGUGAAAAGUUCGAUCAACUAUCAAAGCAUGUGGGAAAUUUGACUCAUUGUGAGCAGAGCAUAUCGUUUAUUUGGAUGGUUUAUCAUUCAAUUCCGUAAUGUGACACUACCAAGUCUAUGUUUUAUUCUGUACCUUGAAUAUAAAAUUCUGAAGUUCUAAAAUUAAGAUGAGUUUUCUGAUUACUGUGGAAGUUUGUUAUUACUUAAUGAGAAAAGAAAGAGACCAUGUUGAAAUUUGUACUCUCUCAGAAUUCCCAAUUUUAUAUUUUAUCAUUUUCCAUUGACACUGCUAGGUGGUUUUGCUUAACUAACUUUUAAUAUAGGAUGCCUGAUUUAUGACCGAAUGCUACACAAGUUGGGCUUUAGAUAUAAGAUCAUAAGUUAUAUGCUAUAAAAUAUUUUAAUAAGAUUUAUGUUAAUUUUGUUUUUCAUGUGUCCAUGGGCUUAUUAUGUAUGACACACCACACAAUAAUAUAAGUUAUUAUCAUUUUUUUAUGUUAUUUUUAUUGCAAGAAGAAUUAAUCUCAACCACUGAAACUGAAAGACUGCUUUAAUAGCUCCUCAGUCUGAGAUUGCAAAUGCAUAGCCACCAAUGAGUGGCUUUUUCCUGAAAACCCAUUCAUUCAUUUAAUUGCAUUUCAUUAAAUUCCAAUCCAUUGCAUCCAUCAUUUUGACUUGGUCUCAUAAGUUCACUAUCAAUUUCAUCUUGUUCCAUAAGGCAUGCGACUCAAGUGCUAGCUCCUCAUUAACCAUGGUGGUGAUGUGUUUUGUUUAUUUUUAUUUAUUUAUUAUCUUUUUGACUCUUGACUUGUACCAGUAGGUACUUUCAUCCAGUACGGAUGACUAGUAAUUACAGUUAAAAUAAUUGCGGAAGCAGUGGUAUAGAAAUUAUUGAACUAGUUAUUGAUCAAGUAUGUGAUUGGUCAAGCUGUCAGCCAUAUGCCAUUGUGAAUAUAUGAUGUCUAUCACUUGUGUUGUGGCUCAUGAAGUACUUCUGCGCUUGUUCAGAUAUACAACAACAGGGCUGCGUGCUACACUUGGUUUGGAGCCUUGGCUGAAGGACUCAAAGAUGCACAGAAUUGUAUUGAGCUAGAUCCUUCUUUUACAGGAAAUUAUCUUGGUGUUGUGGAUCUAAUCAGUCUUUCUGAUUUUUGCUUUGGAUGGUGUUCUUGAAGGGAGAACUUUUGGGAUGCUAAAAAGCACUCACAAUUUUCAAAUGUUUCUUCAUCCCAAUGCUAUGGAAGGCUUUUUCAAACAAUCCUCAAGCUGUUGUUGAUUGCCCAAUGCUUUCAAAGUCCUUAUAUACUAGAGCCAGUCUUCUUGAACAUGAGAGGGAGUUGCAAAGCCAAAAGGAGAACUUUUUUGUUAAAAAAAUUUAUCAUAUAUUACCAAUAGAGACAACUCGUGUUAAAUUUUUUCUCAAAUAUGGGAAUCCUUGUUUGCAUACUGUUGCUUGGUUCGAAAAUUUGUUAUUAAUCAAAAUGCAUUGCAAUUUAGUUCUUAACUUGUCAAUGAAAGUCAAUGACAUUGAAUUUAA